GAUGAACGCUGGCGGCGUGCCUAAUACAUGCAAGUCGAGCGCUGCGGGGACGGGUGAGUACCACGUGGAUACACUCCUUUACGUCUGCGGUAACUUCGGGAAACCGGAGCUACACAGGCUAUUCAUAGGUGGAUCCUCGCUGCAUUAGCUAGUUCGUAAGGUAACGGCUAACAAAGGCCACGAUGCAUAGCGGACCUGUGAGGGUGAUCGGCCACACUGGAACUGAGACACGGUCCAGACUCCUACGGGAGGCAGCAGUAGGGAAUCUUCGGCAAUGGGCGAAAGCCUGAUCGAGCAACGCCGCGUGAGUGAAGAAGGUCUUCGGAUCGUAAAACUCUUUUAUUAGGGAAGCGGUACCUAAUCAGAAAGCCACGGCUAACUACGUGCCAGCAGCCGCGGUAAUAC
rnacentral:rRNA from 1 species